rfam:Populus trichocarpa isolate Nisqually-1 chromosome 3, whole genome shotgun sequence.
AGCCGCGCGGUGAGCACAGAGCGAACUUUUCUUUCGCCUUUUACUAAAGAAUACCGUGCGCUCACUGCAAAUGGUGGCAUACGCCAAUUUUUUCAAAGGGCAAUCCUCCCGUG